ACGUUGGAUACUGGAGCGGGGAAGGAUUUCGUGCCAACGGCACUCGUACACGAGUUGUUCGGAUACUGAGCACAACGUUACACCGUUUUGUUAGGAAAGUGAAGGUGCGUCGGCGGCGUGCGUUUUUUUUUUGCUUUGUUUUUUUUUUUUAAAAAAAAAAAAAAAAAAGGCGCCCCCCCCUGGGCCUUUUUGAAAAGGGGGAAAA
rnacentral:rRNA from 1 species